GUGACGUCCUAAAGCCGCGCCGCGCUCCUCAACUCGGCUGAAGAAAGGAAACGAUCCACGUGACACUCUUAUAAAGAUGGCGUCCGUUAAAGAGGAGAGUGAAGACGUUCACAUUGAAGAGACUUUCAGAGUCAAACAUGAAGAUCCUGAGGAACAAACCGCUCGGCUCCUUCUUCACCAUGACGACCGCAUUACUGCAGAAGCUGCAUCGAUCCGUCUG